ensembl:lncRNA
CCAGGAAUAUAAGGCAUCUGGUUUUCUACACCCUUCAGCUCAUCAUCGCCUUCCAGCUGUCAUUGUUUAAGUUCAGUGUGUUCCCUCUGAUACUGGGCUUCCCCUGGUCUAGUCUCAGCUUCAUCCUGAACACACUCAAGAUAUCCUGCCACUAUCUUGAAGUUCUUUUCUUUCAGCUUCUAAUCAGCCUUUCCUCCCCCAAGGCCAGUUCCUUUAGCUCCAUGUGAAGUUGUUCACCAGCAUCUUCAUUCAUUCGCUCUGAGAUCUCCAAACAGCAUUUGCAGCUCUAUCACUUGUCUUCAGGGAGAUUGAGCUGAGUGUCCAGCUGGCCUAAAACAGAGUCUGUGCCUCGCUCACCCACUGAUGAUCCACAACUGUUUGCCCCCACAGGAAGUCAGAAAGCCUCCAGUGAUUUUACUUUUUAGCUAAUGUUCUCCCUGGGGCUGUGUCAGACACUUCCCAAUCAGAGUGAUGCUGUUGGCACUUUCCACAGACAUCAACCAGGCUGGGAGAUGAAUGUGUGAAACACAUCCUGAUGGGGGUUGAUAAAUGGCUCCACUCUGAGUUAGUCCCUUCCUACUUCUCUCUUGGUUUGACCUGGCUGGGGGUAGUGAUUGAGCAAUAGGUUCCUGGAUGGUGAAACAGCCCAGUUUCAGGGGCUGGCUACAGUGCUGGCACACAAAGCUGGCCUGCAUGGUGCCACUGGGCAUCUCUAACUGUUCUAUCCCUCAGGAUCUGGAGCAAGACCUCCAGAACCACUCAGUCUUCAGCUACUUCCUGGUCUCCAGACAACAGUUAUGCACUUUUCAGUUCAGUUCAGUUCGGUUGCUCAGUUGUGUCCGACUCUUUGUGAUGAAUUGCAGUACGCCAGGCCUCCCUGUCCAUCACCAACUCCCAGAGUCCACCCAAACUCAAGUCCAUCGAGUUGGUGAUGCCAUCCAGCCAUCUCAUCCUCUGUUGUCCCCUUCUCCUCCUGCCCUCAAUCCCUCCCACCAUCAGGGUCUUUUCCAAUGAGUCAACUCUUCGCAUGAGGUGGCCAAAGUAUUGGAGUUUCAGCUUCAGCAUCAGUCCUUCCAAUAAACACCCAGGACUGAUCUCCUUUAGGACAGACUGGUUGGAUCUCCUUGCAGUCCAAGGGACUCUCAAGAGUCUCCUCCAACACUACAGUUCAAAAGCAUCAAUUCUUCGGCACUCAGCUUUCUUCACAGUCCAACUCUCACAUCCAUACAUGACCAAUGGAAAAACCAUAGCCUUGACUAGAUGGACCUUUAUUGGCAAAUGUCUC